AAGUUUGUGGAUGACACGAAGCUCGGAGGAGGUUUGCAGGUGGCACAAAACUCUGGAGAAUAGAGCUAAAAUUCAAAGGGAUCUUGAUAAACUGGAGAACUGGGCUAUAGACAACACAAUGGAAAUUCAACAAAGAUAAAUGUAAGAUGCUACCCUUAGGGAAGAAAAACCAAAUGCACAAAUAUAGAAUGGGAAAAAACUUGAAAGUAUCCAGAGGUGGGGGACAAAGAUAAUCAAAGGAAUGGAAUGCAAGCCA